rnacentral:rRNA from 1 species
GACGAACGCUGGCGGCGUGGAUUAGGCAUGCAAGUCGAACGGUAUCAUCCUUCGGGGGUGAGAGAGUGGCGAACUGGUGAGUAACACGUAGGUUAUCUACCCUCAAGACGGGGACAACCCAGGGAAACUUGGGCUAAUACCGGAUGUGAGCAACUUUUAGUUGUUUGAAAGGUGGCGUAAGCUGUCGCUUGGGGAUGAGCCUGCGUCCUAUUAGUUAGUUGGUGAGGUAACGGCUCACCUAGGCAAUGAUAGGUAGGCGGCCUUAACGGGUGGUCGCCCACACUGGGAUUGAGAUACGGCCCAGACUCCUACGGGAGGCAGCAGUCGAGAAUAGUCUACAAUGGUCGGAAGACUGAUAGUGCGACGCCGCGUGAACGAUGAAUCCCUUCGGGGCGUAAAGUUCUUUUAUAUGUGAGCAGUGCUUCUUAUAUUAACAGUAUGGGGAGAGAGAUAUUAGCAUAUGAAUAAGCAACGGCUAACUCCGUG